UACAGAGGUCUCGAGCGUUGUUCGGAUUCCUUGGGCGUAAAGGGCGCGUAGGCGGCGGGGUAAGUCUGGUGUGAAAUCUCGGAGCUCAACUCCGAAACUGCACUGGAUACUGCUCUGCUAGAGGGCUGGAGAGGAGAUCGGAAUUCACGGUGUAGCAGUGAAAUGCGUAGAUAUCGUGAGGAAGACCAGUGGCGAAGGCGGAUCUCUGGACAGCUCCUGACGCUGAGGCGCGAAGGUCAGGGGAGCAAACGGG
rnacentral:rRNA from 1 species